UGGGGAAUAUUGCACAAUGGGCGCAAGCCUGAUGCAGCCAUGCCGCGUGUAUGAAGAAGGCCUUCGGGUUGUAAAGUACUUUCAGCGGGGAGGAAGGCGAUAAGGUUAAUAACCUUGUCGAUUGACGUUACCCGCAGAAGAAGCACCGGCUAACUCCGUGCCAGCAGCCGCGGUAAUACGGAGGGUGCAAGCGUUAAUCGGAAUUACUGGGCGUAAAGCGCACGCAGGCGGUCUGUCAAGUCGGAUGUGAAAUCCCCGGGCUCAACCUGGGAACUGCAUUCGAAACUGGCAGGCUAGAGUCUUGUAGAGGGGGGUAGAAUUCCAGGUGUAGCGGUGAAAUGCGUAGAGAUCUGGAGGAAUUCCGGUGGCGAAGGCGGCCCCCUGGACAAAGACUGACGCUCAGGUGCGAAAGCGUGGGGAGCAAACA
rnacentral:rRNA from 1 species